UUUGACCUCAGCUCAGUCGUGAUUACCCGCUGAAUUUAAGCAUAUAAUUAAGCGGAGGAA
rnacentral:rRNA from 1 species